GACGAACGCUGGCGGCGUGCUUAACACAUGCAAGUCGAACGGAAAGGCCCUGCUUUUGUGGGGUGCUCGAGUGGCGAACGGGUGAGUAACACGUGAGUAACCCGCCCUUGACUUUGGGAUAACUUCAGGAAACUGGGGCUAAUACCGGAUAGGAGCUCCUGCUGCAUGGUGGGGGUUGGAAAGUUUCGGCGGUUGGGGCUGGACUCGCGGCUUAUCAGCUUGUUGGUGGGGUAGUGGCUUACCAAGGUUUUGACGGAUAGCCGGCCUGAGAGGGGGACCGGCCACAUUGGGACUGAGAUACGGCCCAGACUCCUACGGGCGGCAGCGGUGGGGAAUAUUGCACAAUAGGCGGAAGCCUGAUGCAGCGACGCCGCGUGCGGGAUGACGGCCUUCGGGUUGUAAACCGCUUUCGCCUGUGACGAAGCGUGAGUGACGGUAAUGGGUAAAAAAGCACCGGCUAACUACGUG
rnacentral:rRNA from 1 species